rnacentral:rRNA from 1 species
UACGAAGGGGGCUAGCGUUGCUCGGAAUCACUGGGCGUAAAGGGUGCGUAGGCGGGUCUUUAAGUCAGGGGUGAAAUCCCGGGGCUCAACCUCGGAACUGCCUUUGAUACUGCAAAUCUCGAGUCCGAUAGAGGUGGGUGGAAUUCCUAGUGUAGAGGUGAAAUUCGUAGAUAUUAGGAAGAACACCGGUGGCGAAGGCGGCCCACUGGAUCGGUACUGACGCUGAGGUGCGAAAGCGUGGGGAGCAAACAGG